GAAAAAAUCCCCUUCGGGGGAGGCGGUGGCGGCGGCUGCAACAGCCUCUCCGGGCUUCUCGCGAUGGAGCUUCGCUGGGACUCUCCUGGCGUGUUCUAGCCGUCUGAUGGAACCGGAUAGGGAGGUGCGCGCGUAGGGUUCGGAGGGGGGCUCCUCUGCGCCGUGAGUUUGUUGCCGCCAUCUCCCCUUUUUCUAGAGAGGCUGGGCUUUGAUUUAGCACAUGAGUAAACCAGGGCAUCUCACAGUUUUCGGUUUUCCCCUCAUUUUCUCUCUGUGAUUUGAGCUUUGGUGUUGAGAGCUUGGACUCCAACUGAGGUUUUGGCCGAAGCUCUUGUAGCACUGGGAGGCAUCUUGUUGGUGCUCAGAGCUGCGCUGCCGAGGUUCGCCCGCACUGCAGAGGCUGUGCGGUUGAGGUAUUGUAUCUACGUCAUCCCUCCAUCCGGCGGCAACGUCGGUUGAUUGGAUUUCUGGGACUGCGGCAUCUGUGCUGUGCCUUGCCUCACUCUCCAGCUUAUUCCAGCAUAUUCACUGAAUCUGUAGAAUUCAGAGAAUUGUAUAUCAAGGUUGUCAUCUAGGUGUGAUCUCAUGUCCUAGUUUAAUUUGUGAUAUGAUUUAUAGUUCAGCCUGGGAGCAGAUCUUUAUUAAUCUGGAGCCAGCUGAUAAGAAUACUCUGAGAGCCAUUUGAAUAUAUCAUCUAGUUCAAUUCAGAUUUUUAUAUAUGGUUUACUUUCUCA